GGGGAUUUAGCUCAGCGGCAUAAGCGCCUGCCUUGCAAGCAGGUGGUCGUGAGUUCGAUCCCCA
rfam:Cavia porcellus supercont2_105 genomic scaffold, whole genome shotgun sequence.